rnacentral:misc_RNA from 1 species
UUUCCGUAGGUGAACCUGCGGAAGGAUCAUUAUUGUAUAACCGAGGUGCGAGGGCUGUCGCUGACCCGACAGGUCGUGCACGCCCCAGUGCCCUCACAAACUCCCAUCUCCCCCCCAUGUGCACCGCCGCGUGGGUCCCCCUUUGGCUUGUUCGGAGGGGGGCUUACGUUUUCACUCAAACUUUGUAUGCAGUGUAGAAUGUAUUUUUUGUUUUUGAGAACACGCAAUCAAUACAACUUUCAACAACGGAUCUCUUGGCUCUG